CCUCGCCCGCCCAGCCCUUCGCCUCCCUCUCCCCGGCCUCCCAGCCCGCCUCCCCCCUCGCCCGAGCCUCCCAGCCCCGAGCCGCCCGUGCAACCCCUCACCCCCGCCGUCCGCCGCCCGCCUCCGCCCAGCGCCCAACCCUUCCCCUUCUGCAAGUGCAACCGCACGCUGGGCACCGUUCCCUUCGUGUUCGACCCCGUGCCGGUCCUCACGCGCAACGGUGCCAACCGCGUCAUCUGCCUGACGCUGCGCACCAAGCCCUGCGUCGACCCCAGCUCGCCCUGCUGCACCCAGCCCAUGGCCAAGAUUGAGUGGUGGACCAAGGACGCCUGCCGCGGCUCCGUCAAGCAGGUGACCCUGGAUGGGACCAAGGUGGACCAGCAGUGGUCCAAGGGCACCUUCAAGAUCCCCGGCCUGAACAUGCCAGCCAGCGCCGUGCCCGACGCCGGCCGCGAGGUGUGCAUCGAGCUGGACGCCAAGGGCACCUGUCCCUCGCUCAACACCUUCUGCGCCCGCGCCGCCACCACCGGCAGCUGCUACUAUGUCGCCUUCAACCAAGCCAAGAGCUGGUGAGAGCUUUGCAUGUCGCGGUUGAAUGUCGCAGUAUCAGUUUGCCCAUAGAUGCGCUGCGUUUGGUGUGAUCGGCUGAUCGCUUAUCAACAGAGCUGUCAGCAGCAGCGUAAGGCUGUUUCAUUUGUUGGCACGGCACGGCACUAACCCAAGCCUUUCCCCUUUACCCGGCCCCCAAC
rnacentral:lncRNA from 1 species